GCUUCUGUGUUCCUCUGACUUACUGGAGAAAAGAGAACUGGAGGAAAUUCACCUACAGACAAAAAAAGAAAAAUAAGGGAGACUUGAAAAGAAGAAGAGAGGCGACAGACACAAUUCAAAGUCCCAGAAGACAGCGCACGACUUCCCAAGCUUGGGUUUGUUCCUGACUGGCCACAGGGGAGAGGAGGCUAGCUUACUUUGAUUUUUUUUUAUAGAAGAUCCUCUCUCCCACCCAAGACUAUCCACAGCAAAGAAGAAGCAGUUGUGUAUUAGUCAGCGUUCUCUAGGACAGAAGUAACAGGAUAGAGGAAUGUAUGAAAAGGAGUUUAUAUAAGGAGAGUUGACUCACACAAUCACAAGGCGAAGUCCAACGAUAGACAAUCUGCAAGCUGAGGAGCAAGGAAGUCAGUAGUGGCUCAGUGUGAGUCUCAAAACCUCAAAAGUAGGGAAGCUGACAGUGCAGCCUUUAGUCUGUGGCCGAAGCCCCAAGAGCCCCUGACAAACCACUGGUGUAAGUCCAAGAGUCUAAAGGCUGAAGAACCUGGAGUCUGAUGUUCAAGGGCAGGAAGCAUUCAGCACGGGAAAAAGAUGAAGGCUGGAAGACUCAGAAAGUCAGCUCAUUCCACCUUCUUCUACCUAGCAGCUGAUUGAAUGGUGCCCACCCAGACUGAGGGUGAAUCUGCGUCUCCCAGUCCACUGACUCAAAUGUUAACCUCCUCUGGCAGCAACCUCACAGACACAUCCAGAAACAAUACUUUGCAUCCUUCAAUCCAAUCAAGUUGACACUUAAUAUUAACCAUCACAAGUGGAUGUGUUUUUACCUGAGUUAAAAACAAGUUUUUAAAAAAAAUUAAAAGUUGGGAGACAGAUUAAGAUGGUGGACAGGAGGCAGGACUAGCUUGCAGCUCCCACUUGGAUGGUCAGAGCAGUGUGUGGAGACUCACAUCGUUAACUUUUGCUCCAAGAACUACUGCAGGAACAUACCAGGAAAGCUGAGAGAAUCCACAAACGCUUUGAAGGAACUGGAUCACUGCUGCAGGCUCCCUGAGACACCAAAAAAUGGUGAGUCUGCUUCCUUUCUCAAUGGGGAAGCUCAUGGUCUGGGGCAAGUUCUCAGCCCUGGUCAUUUGCUGCCUGGAAAUACACUCAGAGUUGUUGUGGGGGCAUGGUGGGAGUGAGACUGGCCUUUAGGACUGCAGGCUAUGUGGAAGCAGGGUGAGGCCUGUGACUGCUGGCUUUCCCCCACUUUCCUUGUGACCUGUAUGACUCAGCAGAAGCAGCCAUAAUCCCGAUAGGAAUAUAACUCCAUUGGACUGGGAACCACACCCCAUGUCCCACAGCAGCUGCAGUAAGCCCCACCCAAGGAAAGGCUGAGCUCAGAC
rnacentral:lncRNA from 1 species